rnacentral:rRNA from 1 species
ACACUGACGACAUGGUUCUACACCUGAGAAACGGCUACCACAUCCAAGGAAGGCAGCAGGCACGCAAAUUACCCACUCCCGGCUUGGGGAGGUAGUGACGAAAAAUAACGAUGUGAGACUCAUCCGAGGCCUCACAAUCGGAAUGAGUACACUUUAAAUCCUUUAACGAGGAUCUAUUGGAGGGCAAGUCUGGUGCCAGCAGCCGCGGUAAUUCCAGCUCCAAUAGCGUAUAUUAAGUUGUUUGCGGUUAAAAAGCUCGUAGUUGGACUACAGUUCCGGACUGACGGUACACCUCCCGGUGUUUACUGUCACGCUCCGAACAGCCUGGUAUUUAACAGUCCAGGCCCCGCUGGCUCGCCCGGGGUGCUCUUCAUCGAGUGUCCCGAGUGGCUGGCAAGUUUACUUUGAAAAAAUUAGAGUGCUCAGAGCAGGCUACACGAAUGGCCUAAAUGUCUAUGCAUGGAAUAAUGGAAUAGGACCUCGGUUCUAUUUUGUCGGUUUUCCUCGGAACCCGAGGUAAUGACUAAUAGAAACAGGCGGGGGCAUUCGUAUUGCGACGCUAGAGGUGAAAUUCUUGGACCGUCGCAGGACGAACUACUGCGAAAGCAUUUGCCAAGGAUGUUUUCAUUAAUCAAGAACGAAAGUUAGAGGUUCGAAGGCGAUCAGAUACCGCCCUAGUUCUAACCAUAAACGAUGCUGACCAGCGAUCCGUUGGCGUUAUUCCCAUGACCCAGCGGGCAGCUUCCGGGAAACCAAAGUCUUUGAGUUCCGGGGGAAGUAUGGUUGCAAAGCUGAAACUUAAAGGAAUUGACGGAAGGGCACCACCAGGAGUGGAGCCUGCGGCUUAAUUUGACUCAACACGGGAAAUCUCACCAGGCCCGGACACCGGAAGGAUUGACAGAUUGAGAGCUCUUUCUCGAUUCGGUGGGUGGUGGUGCAUGGCCGUUCUUAGUUGGUGGAGCGAUUUGUCUGGUUAAUUCCGAUAACGA